rnacentral:rRNA from 1 species
ACUGACGCUAAAGCUCGAAGGUGCGGGUAUCGAACAGGAUUAGAUACCCUGGUAGUCCGCACGGUAAACGAUGGAUGCCCGCUGUUGGCGAUACAUUGUCAGCGGCCAAGCGAAAGCGUUAAGCAUCCCACCUGGGGAGUACGCCGGCAACGGUGAAACUCAAAGGAAUUGACGGGGGCCCGCACAAGCGGAGGAACAUGUGGUUUAAUUCGAUGAUACGCGAGGAACCUUACCCGGGCUUGAACUGCCAGCGAACGAUACAGAGAUGUUGAGGCCCUUCGGGGCGCUGGUGGAGGUGCUGCAUGGUUGUCGUCAGCUCGUGCCGUGAGGUGUCGGCUUAAGUGCCAUAACGAGCGCAACCCCUUUCUUCAGUUGCCAUCAGGCAAUGCUGGGCACUCUGGAGACACUGCCGCCGUAAGGUGUGAGGAAGGUGGGGAUGACGUCAAAUCAGCACGGCCCUUACGUCCGAGGCUACACACGUGUUACAAUGGGUGGUACAGAGAGCCGGCCGUCCGCAAGUGCGGUCCAAUCAGGAAAGCCAUCCUCAGUUCGGAUUGGGGUCUGCAACCCGACCCCAUGAAGCUGGAUCGCUAGUAAUCG